AGGACGAACGCUGGCGGCGUGCUUAACACAUGCAAGUCGAGCGGUGACGCUCCUUCGGGAGCUGAUCAGCGGCGAACGGGUGAGUAACACGUGGGCAACCUGCCCCUAACACUGGGAUAACCUCGGGAAACCGGGGCUAAUACCGGAUAUGACUUCGAGCGGCAUCGCUUGAAGUGCAAAGCUCCGACGGUUAGGGAUGGGCCCGCGGCCUAUCAGCUUGUUGGUGGGUAAUGGCCUACCAAGGCGACGACGGGUA
rnacentral:rRNA from 1 species